GAUGAACGCUAGCGGGAGGCCUAACACAUGCAAGCCGAGCGGUAGAGUUCCUUCGGGAACUUGAGAGCGGCGUACGGGUGCGUAACACGUGUGCAACCUACCUUUAUCUGGGGGAUAGCCUUUCGAAAGGAAGAUUAAUACCCCAUAAUAUAAUGAUUGGCAUCAAUUAUUAUUGAAAACUCCGGUGGAUAGAGAUGGGCACGCGCAAGAUUAGAUAGUUGGUGAGGUAACGGCUCACCAAGUCAAUGAUCUUUAGGGGUCCUGAGAGGGAGAUCCCCCACACUGGUACUGAGACACGGACCAGACUCCUACGGGCGGCAGCAGUGAGGAAUAUUGGACAAUGGGUGAUAGCCUGAUCCAGCCAUCCCGCGUGAAGGAUGACGGUCCUAUGGAUUGUAAACUUCUUUUGUACAGGGAUAAACCUACUCUCGUGAGGGUAGCUGAAGGUACUGUACGAAUAAGCACCGGCUAACUCCGUG
rnacentral:rRNA from 1 species